rnacentral:rRNA from 1 species
CUUCGGAUGCUGACGAGUGGCGAACGGGUGAGUAAUACAUCGGAACGUGCCCGAUCGUGGGGGAUAACGAAGCGAAAGCUUUGCUAAUACCGCAUAAGAUCUACGGAUGAAAGCAGGGGACCGCAAGGCCUUGCGCGAACGGAGCGGCCGAUGGCAGAUUAGGUAGUUGGUGGGAUAAAAGCUUACCAAGCCGACGAUCUGUAGCUGGUCUGAGAGGACGACCAGCCACACUGGGACUGAGACACGGCCCAGACUCCUACGGGAGGCAGCAGUGGGGAAUUUUGGACAAUGGGCGAAAGCCUGAUCCAGCCAUGCCGCGUGCAGGAUGAAGGCCUUCGGGUUGUAAACUGCUUUUGUACGGAACGAAAAGACUCUGGUUAAUACCUGGGGUCCAUGACGGUACCGUAAGAAUAAGCACCGGCUAACUACGUGCCAGCAGCCGCGGUAAUACGUAGGGUGCAAGCGUUAAUCGGAAUUACUGGGCGUAAAGCGUGCGCAGGCGGUUAUAUAAGACAGAUGUGAAAUCCCCGGGCUCAACCUGGGAACUGCAUUUGUGACUGUAUAGCUAGA